rnacentral:rRNA from 1 species
UACGUAGGGCGCAAGCGUUGUCCGGAAUUAUUGGGCGUAAAGAGCUCGUAGGCGGCCUGUUACGUCUGCUGUGAAAUCCCGGGGCUUAACCCCGGGCGUGCAGUGGAUACGGGCAGGCUGGAGGCAGGCAGGGGAGAAUGGAAUUCCCGGUGUAGCGGUGAAAUGCGCAGAUAUCGGGAGGAACACCGGUGGCGAAGGCGGUUCUCUGGGCCUUACCUGACACUGAGGAGCGAAAGCGUGGGGAGCGAACAGG